GCUUACGGCCACACCGCCUGGUUCACGCCCGAUCUCGUUUGAUCUCGGAAGCUAAGAUAGGUUGGGCCUGGUUAGUACUUGGAUGGGAGACCGCCUGGGAUUACCAGGUGCUGUAAAUU
ensembl:rRNA 5S_rRNA 5S ribosomal RNA